UUACGGACUGGACUACGAAACGAAAGCGAUAGUUUGCACCAUUCCUACUAUACAUAAUAAGCAAUAGUAUAUUUACAAAAUUACAUAGAAAAGAUUUUAAUUUUAAAAUACUAGCUACUUGGGAUGUAUAAAAAAAUAAAAUGUAAGCUCGAUAAAACAAUGGGGGAAUUGCGGCACCAUCUUCAAAUCGAAUGCUUUGAAUUUUACGUCUAGUUCCCCGUAGCCUAAGCGAAACUGCUCGAAUGAUGGAAAGCUGGCUUUGGAUUCUCAACCAUCCGAUAAUUUGGGAGUAUGGUUUUCUCCAUUUUACAGCCAGGGCUUCGCUUGUUCUCCUCUGAAACGCUUCAUAUUCUUUGUGGGGGACUCCUUCCGUACUUGCAGACACAGAAGAAGAGAUGGAGGAGAAGAUAGACAAAACAAGAACAAGGUGCACAAACACCAAGUUUGCCGUUGAUGCUGACGAGGGAACUAGCCUAUAGGCCUUGCGAGAAGUUAGAUAAAAAGCAAGUACCGGAUCUGAAGCAGCUGAAGUGCCGUAUAUGUUGCAAGUUUCAAAAUCCACUAAUGUCUUGAAAUGUGUGUUAAUUUAUUGAAAGUUAGUCAUUGUCUUAUUGUUAUGUUUAAGUGAACUGAAGUUAAAAUUUUAUAGUUAGCUCA